GCUGUAGCUUGGUGAUAAGAGCAUCUGCUUUGCAUGCAGAAGGUCCCAGGUUCAAAACCCCGGCAUCUCCU